GGGUGCGAUCAUACCAACGUUAAUGCACCGGAUCCCAUCAGAACUCCGCAUUUAAGCGUGCUUGGGCUAGAGUAGUACUGGGAUGGGUGACAGCCCGAGAAGUCAUAGUGUUGCACCCU
rnacentral:rRNA from 1 species